rnacentral:rRNA from 1 species
GGUAACUGCGAGCGGUGGGUGAGGGGAAUGGAGGGGGGUCGGGCGUUAGUGUGAGUGACGGGGCGUAAAGCGUGCGUAGGCUGCUUGUUAAGUCGGAUGGGAAAUCCCCGAGCGUAACUGGGGAAUUGCAUUCGAUACUGGGAAGCUAGAGUAGGGGAGAGGAUGGGAGAAUUCCAGGUGUAGCGGUGAAAUGCGUAGAGAUCUGGAGGAAUACCGAUGGCGAAGGCAGCCAUCUGGCCUAAUACUGACGCUGAGGUACGAAAGCAUGGGGAGCAAACAGGAUUAGAUACCCGGGUAGUC